rnacentral:rRNA from 1 species
GACGAACGCUGGCGGCGUGCUUAACACAUGCAAGUCGAACGGAAAGGCCCUGCUUUUGUGGGGUGCUCGAGUGGCGAACGGGUGAGUAACACGUGAGUAACCUGCCCUUGACUUUGGGAUAACUUCAGGAAACUGGGGCUAAUACCGGAUAGGAUCUCCUGCUGCAUGGUGGGGGUUGGAAAGUUUCGGCGGUUGGGGAUGGACUCGCGGCUUAUCAGCUUGUUGGUGGGGUAGUGGCUUACCAAGGGUUUGACGGGUAGCCGGCCUGAGAGGGUGACCGGCCACAUUGGGACUGAGAUACGGCCCAGACUCCUACGGGAGGCAGCAGUGGGGAAUAUUGCACAAUGAGCGGAAGCCUGAUGCAGCAACGCCGCGUGUGGGAUGACGGCCUUCGGGUUGUAAACCGCUUUCGCCUGUGACGAAGCGUGAGUGACGGUAAUGGGUAAAGAAGCACCGGCUAACUACGUG